GGACGGGUGGCUGAGUGGUUGAAAGCGCUGGAUUCGAAAUCCAGUAUGGGUGCAAGCCCAUCGGGGGUUCGAAUCCCUUCCCGUCUUCC
rnacentral:tRNA from 1 species